UGAGGGAAUAUUUGGGUCAAUGGACGAGAGUCUGAACCAGCCAAGUCGCGUGAAGGAAGACGGAUCUAUGGUUUGUAAACUUCUUUAGUGCGGGAACAAAGCGGCGUCGUGACGCCGGAUGAGUGUACCGCAAGAAUAAGCAUCGGCUAACUCCGUGCCAGCAGCCGCGGUAAUACGGAGGAUGCGAGCGUUAUCCGGAUUUAUUGGGUUUAAAGGGAGCGCAGGCUGCGAGGCAAGUCAGCGGUCAAAUGUCGGGGCUCAACCCCGGCCUGCCGUUGAAACUGUCCUGCUAGAGUUCGAGUGAGGUAUGCGGAAUGCGUUGUGUAGCGGUGAAAUGCAUAGAUAUGACGCAGAACUCCGAUUGCGAAGGCAGCA
rnacentral:rRNA from 1 species